UCAAAAAAUAGUUUUAAAAAAAAUUUUAAUUUUGGAGAUUAAAGAUAUAUAAAUAUAUUUAUUUUUUUGA
rnacentral:tRNA from 1 species